GAUGAACGCUGGCGGCGUGCCUAAUACAUGCAAGUCGAGCGAACAGAUGAGGAGCUUGCUCCUCUGACGUUAGCGGCGGACGGGUGAGUAACACGUGGAUAACCUACCUAUAAGACUGGGAUAACUUCGGGAAACCGGAGCUAAUACCGGAUAAUAUAUUGAACCGCAUGGUUCAAUAGUGAAAGACGGUUUUGCUGUCACUUAUAGAUGGAUCCGCGCCGCAUUAGCUAGUUGGUAAGGUAACGGCUUACCAAGGCAACGAUGCGUAGCCGACCUGAGAGGGUGAUCGGCCACACUGGAACUGAGACACGGUCCAGACUCCUACGGGAGGCAGCAGUAGGGAAUCUUCCGCAAUGGGCGAAAGCCUGACGGACCAACGCCGCGUGAGUGAUGAAGGUCUUCGGAUCGUAAAACUCUGUUAUUAGGGAAGAACAAAUGUGUAAGUAACUAUGCACGUCUUGACGGUACCUAAUCAGAAAGCCACGGCUAACUACGUG
rnacentral:rRNA from 1 species